rnacentral:rRNA from 1 species
GGGGGAAUCUUGCGCAAUGGGCGAAAAGCCUGACGCAGCGACGCCGCGUGGGUGACGAAGGCCUUCGGGUUGUAAAGCCCUGUGGGGUAGAACGAACUGGCAUCGGGCUAAUAUCCCGGUGUCUUGACGGUACUGCCUUAGCAAGCAUCGGCUAACUCUGUGCCAGCAGCCGCGGUAAGACAGAGGAUGCGAACGUUGCUCGGAUUUACUGGGCGUAAAGCGCGUGUAGGCGGUCUCGUUAGUCGGGUGUGAAAGCCCCGGGCUCAACCCGGGAAGUGCACCCGAUACUGCGAGACUGGGGUACUGAAGAGGAGAGCGGAAUUCCCGGUGUAGAGGUGAAAUUCGUAGAUAUCGGGGAGGAACACCAGUGGCGAAGGCGGCUCUCUGGGCAGAUACCGACGCUGAGACGCGAAAGCGUGGGGAGCAAACAGGAUUAGAUACCCUGGUAGUCCACGCUGUAAACGAUGACGACUGGGUGUUGCAGGUAUUGACCCCUGCGGUGCCGAAGCUAACGCGUUAAGUCGUCCGCCUGGG